rnacentral:rRNA from 1 species
UACGUAGGGUGCAAGCGUUAAUCGGAAUUACUGGGCGUAAAGCGUGCGCAGGCGGUUUUGUAAGUCUGUCGUGAAAGCCCCGGGCUCAACCUGGGAAUUGCGAUGAAGACUGCAAGGCUUGAAUCUGGCAGAGGGGGGUAGAAUUCCACGUGUAGCAGUGAAAUGCGUAGAGAUGUGGAGGAACACCGAUGGCGAAGGCAGCCCCCUGGGUCAAGAUUGACGCUCAUGCACGAAAGCGUGGGGAGCAAACAGG